AUCCAUCUGACGAGACCUAAAUGGGACGGAACGCGCGUCAAACUGGAU
rnacentral:hammerhead_ribozyme from 1 species